AUACCUUCUCGGCCUCUUGGCUAAGAUCAAGUGUAGUAUCUGUUCUAAUCAUUGUGAAAACUGGUUUUCGCCUUUUGGCGGACUUGUUCACUCGCAUUUUUGGGCAAACGUCUGCGGCUAGCUUGCUAGCGGCGGAUGUGACGGGGUCACACAGCACCUUGCGCUAGAGGAAGUUAUCUUCCGAGAGUUU
rfam:Phytophthora infestans T30-4 supercont1.1 genomic scaffold, whole genome shotgun sequence.